rnacentral:rRNA from 1 species
UACGUAGGGAGCAAGCGUUGUUCGGAUUUACUGGGCGUAAAGGGCGCGUAGGCGGCAAUUCAAGUCAGCUGUGAAAUCUCCGGGCUUAACUCGGAACGGUCAGCUGAUACUGCUUUGCUAGAGUGCGGAAGGGGCAAUCGGAAUUCUCGGUGUAGCGGUGAAAUGCGUAGAUAUCGAGAGGAACACCUGAGGUGAAGACGGGCUGCUGGGCCGACACUGACGCUGACAGCGCGAAAGCCAGGGGAGCAAACGGG